rnacentral:rRNA from 1 species
GCUAGCUACAGGCUUAACACAUGCAAGUCGAGGGGCAGCAUGGUCUUAGCUUGCUAAGGCCGAUGGCGACCGGCGCACGGGUGAGUAACACGUAUCCAACCUGCCGUCUACUCUUGGACAGCCUUCUGCAAGGAAGAUUAAUACAAGAUGGCAUCAUGAGUCCGCAUGUUCACAUGAUUAAAGGUAUUCCGGUAGACGAUGGGGAUGCGUUCCAUUAGAUAGUAGGCGGGGUAACGGCCCACCUAGUCUUCGAUGGAUAGGGGUUCUGAGAGGAAGGUCCCCCACAUUGGAACUGAGACACGGUCCAAACUCCUACGGGAGGCAGCAGUGAGGAAUAUUGGUCAAUGGGCGAGAGCCUGAACCAGCCAAGUAGCGUGAAGGAUGACUGCCCUAUGGGUUGUAAACUUCUUUUAUAAAGGAAUAAAGUCGGGUAUGGAUACCCGUUUGCAUGUACUUUAUGAAUAAGGAUCGGCUAACUCCGUGCCAGCAGCCGCGGUAAUACGGAGGAUCCGAGCGUUAUCCGGAUUUAUUGGGUUUAAAGGGAGCGUAGAUGGAUGUUUAAGUCAGUUGUGAAAGUUUGCGGCUCAACCGUAAAAUUGCAGUUGAUACUGGAUAUCUUGAGUGCAGUUGAGGCAGGCGGAAUUCGUGGUGUAGCGGUGAAAUGCUUAGAUAUCACGAAGAACUCCGAUUGCGAAGGCAGCCUGCUAAGCUGCAACUGAUAUUGAGGCUCGAAAGUGUGGGUAUCAAACAGGAUUAGAUACCCUGGUAGUCCACACGGUAAACGAUGAAUACUCGCUGUUUGCGAUAUACUGCAAGCGGCCAAGCGAAAGCGUUAAGUAUUCCACCUGGGGAGUACGCCGGCAACGGUGAAACUCAAAGGAAUUGACGGGGGCCCGCACAAGCGGAGGAACAUGUGGUUUAAUUCGAUGAUACGCGAGGAACCUUACCCGGGCUUAAAUUGCAGAUGAAUUACGGUGAAAGCCGUAAGCCGCAAGGCAUCUGUGAAGGUGCUGCAUGGUUGUCGUCAGCUCGUGCCGUGAGGUGUCGGCUUAAGUGCCAUAACGAGCGCAACCCUUGUUGUCAGUUACUAACAGGUCAUGCUGAGGACUCUGACAAGACUGCCAUCGUAAGAUGUGAGGAAGGUGGGGAUGACGUCAAAUCAGCACGGCCCUUACGUCCGGGGCUACACACGUGUUACAAUGGGGGGUACAGAGGGCCGCUACCACGCGAGUGGAUGCCAAUCCCCAAAACCUCUCUCAGUUCGGACUGGAGUCUGCAACCCGACUCCACGAAGCUGGAUUCGCUAGUGAUCGCGCAUCAGCCACGGCGCGGUGAAUACGUUCCCGGGCCUUGUACACACCGCCCGUCAAGCCAUGGGAGCCGGGGGUACCUGAAGUGCGUAACCGCGAGGAGCGCCCUAGGGUAAAACUGGUGACUGGGGCUAAA